rnacentral:rRNA from 1 species
UACCCUAUUAUUUUAAGCUAUAUAUUGGUAGUAAUUAAUAAUUUAUGAAAUCAUAAGAUUUUGGCGGUAUUUUAAGCUUAUUAGAGGAAUUUGCUCUGUAAUGGAUACAACGCCUUAAUCUUACUUAAUUUGGUUUUAAAGUCAGUUUGUAUACCACUAUAUUUAAUUAUAUUGAAUAAUUAUAUUUAAGAUUUUUUUUUAUAAAAAAUAUAUUAAGUCAAGGUGCAAUUUAUAAUUAUGAAUGAAGUGAAUUACAUUAAUUUU